rnacentral:lncRNA from 1 species
CGGGACCCACCUGGCUGCCCGAUGCCCAGUCAACCUGACCGAGACUAGGGGAACCCGACCGAGACCUUAGGAGACUUGGCCGAGAGGCCGAGACCUUAGAAGACUUGGCCGAGAGGCCGAGAGGCCGAGACCUUGGGAGACUUGAGCCGAGAGGCCGAGAGGCUGAGACCUUAGAAGACUUGGCCGACAGGCCGAGACCUUGGGAGACUUGCGCCGAAAGGCCGAGACCUUAAAAGACUUAACUAAGACGACCGAGACCACAAGGAUUUGGCCGAUGGCCGACCCACACCAUGGGAACUUGGCCGAUGGCCGAACCCUAUUACAAUUAACGCUCAAACCAAGAUCAGUAAAGCUAAUCCAUCAUCAAGAAUUAGGUAAUGCAAUCCUAAGCGGUAUCCACCUCGAUAAACGGGCCCAACAAGGUAGGCCCAUUAGAAUAAUAUAAAUAGCACACACUCCAAGGAGAAAGGUAUGUCAUUUAUUACUGUCCACUUACCUAAGAGCUGACCACCCGCUUUACUGACUUGAGCGUCGGAGUGCCUUCGCAGGUACCCCCACCAUCCGGUGUUCACCCGACGACCAAGUCCCGAGUGCCGAAGGAUAAGCAGGAAGACGAGAAGAAUCCCAGUUCAUCACCCAGUCACCUGCCCGACCGAAGGAAGGAGAAGUAGACUUCAAUAGUUCUCUAGGUCUCAUCUCCCUAGCAGGAACAUAUACAUUGGAGAGAUAUGCUCCAUAUAAUUCGCUACUCCAUGUGUUAUGUCUAUCUAUUUAUCUACAAUUAUACCAAUCUAUUACCUUAUAUUUACCACAUAUAAUAUACAUUAAUACACUUUCUAUGUACAUUUAUAUGAAAAAUAUAAUAAUUUUAAUAAAACCAAACUGAGUUGAGUAUCUGAUUAUUCAUGUGAAAUACAACUUUCACAGUGAAAUACAACCUAUCAAUAUAAGUUUAAAUAAUAAUAAAAAAUCCUUGUAUAAAAAAUCUUCCUUUUAUCAUGUCAUUUUUUAGCGUUGAUUUUAUAUAAUCUCUAAAGCGGGUUGAAGCAGUCAAGUUAAAUCUCCAAAUUUAAGAAUUUGUUAUGAUUGUGAAAUAAAUUUAAGUGUUUCAUUUCAAAGAAAAUUAGCAUUUUUCUUUCAACACUUAUAGAUGGUGAUGGUAAUAACCAAUUAUUGAUCCAUUGACCAAACUAUUAGGAGAGUGAACGUAACUUAUGGCGUUAGAGAAAUUUUCCCUCCUUAAAAAAUCAUUAGUUUACCUUUAUACAAAAAUUUGUCAAUUAAAACAUUUCAAAUUGAUGAAACACGUGUGAGAAAAAUUAUUAACAAUGUUGAAAAGAUUUUUUUUCUCUAAAUUUAUUCUACUCUACUAAACUAGAAAGUAAUUCAAAUUAUAUAAUAUUGUUCUUAUCGAAAAGGAUUAUUUCUCUUGUUAAGUAGAAAGAGUGAAGUUAUUGGGAAGCCAAGCUUAUCUUCUGAUAUAUGAACACCGAGAAAAACAAGGAAAGAUCAAUUUGUAAAAGAUUUUCAACACUCAAAUCAGUCAAAAUUAUUAAAAAUAUAAAUUAUAUUCUCAAACACUCACUUACAUUUGUCGUGGAUUAAUUUGACACAAAAAUAAACUUCUUAUGUUAGGUAAAAAGUCGAACAUAAAAUUAUACUUUCGCAUCUACGUUAAACUUUUAUGUAACGUAAUUUAUCCUAGAAAUCGGACGUAAAAGAUUUUUUUUACUAGUAAGAAGACACCAAAAAACUUUGAAAUUUUUUUAUCAGCAAAAUAAAAUUAUGUGUUUCUUUUUAAUAUAGUAAUAUAAGAUAUCUAGAAACCACAUCUUCAAUAAAAAAAACUUUAAUAAGAUAAUAAAUUUAUGAAUUUUUUUUAUCCUUAUAUUUAUAUAUUGUUUAUCUUACUAUUAUAAUGCAAUGUAGGAUUUUUAACUUAUUGAAUUUCUAACAAAUUGUAGACUAAAAGUUAUAAAUAGUAACUUUCAAUGACCAAGUUUACAGAAAAAUUAAUAUAGCUUGCAAGGUUCUCUCUUUUAACACUUGUUUCAAUUUUUUUUUUAUCAAUAAUAAAUAAAUUAAAUUAAAAUAAGAUAUUCUAGAAAUGUAUCAACCUUUCUACAUUAACAAUUGCAAAUCUAUUCUAACCUACGCUUCUUGCUUCAAGUAUUUAAUUAUAACCUUUUUUGUGUCUAUUAGGAGAAACUUAUUUAACUAGUAAUAAAUUUUGGAAAGUCAAAUUCCUCAUAAAUAAACGUUAAAUACCUAAUCAUUAUAUUUGGAUUUUGUAUUUUAGUAUCUUAUUUUGGUAUGUAAUUUUUUAGGUAAUGUAAUGUAAGAUGUGUUGGAUCAUUUGCUGGUUUGGAAGCAAAGAUACUUAUUUUAGUUUUUUUUUUUUAUAAAGAAUUGGAACAUUUUGAAUUAUUUUAUUUUAUUUAUUUAUUGUUGAUAAAAAAAAUUGGAUUAACGCAGAAAAUUAAAUAUACUUUGUUGAAAUAUACUUUAAAGGAGGUGAACGAUGAAGGCAACAUGUUUUGUGGCUUUUGUGAGUUAAUCAAACGUGUUACCGUCUUUCUUGACCUAUAACUUGUUCCUGAGAAUAAAGUACCCACAUGUAGCAUGCAAAGAAUGAUUUUGUUAGCCAUGCAUACGAAGAAAAAGUCUUCUAAAAUAACAAAUAAUUUCAAUUUAAAAAAUAGUUAUGAAUAUAUUACCACUUGAUUUGAGACGAGUUGAAUAUUUUAAUAUACAAAUUAAAGUAAAACAUAUAUUUAUCAACUUUUUUAAUUUUUGCGCGUCUUUUUCACUUUAGAAUUAUGAUGUUCCUUUAAUUACAUGGAAAGCUAAGUCAAUGAAGUAACGUAUAUGCAUGCUAGAGAUAUUGCAGCUAGCUUUAUUCCACUCAAGAAAGCAUGAACUUUAUAUAAAGAAGGAACUAAAAUAAUAUUACAGAAAUUUCUCUUAUAAGUUUUUCAAUUCAAAAUCAUUUUUUUCUACCAUCAAUAAAUACUUUUUUUUAAUGACAAUUGCAUUUCAUAUGAAUUUAAUUGAAACUAUACUGCAAAUGUUUUACUUAUGUAAUUACAAUAUAUAUUAUAUGUUAAAUUGUGAACUUUUAUGAUACUAUCUAAAAAGUUAUUUUGGAAUUAUUUUUAAUUAGUUGACGUAGUAAAAGUUUUCACGUUGAUAAAGAAUAAGGUUGUCUAAAUUGUUUAUGGCCGAUAAAAAAAAAUUAUGAGAAAAAAUAUCACAAUCAUUAUUAAAAUACUGUAGAUAUAUUUUAUUUUAUUUUUCCGAAAUUUGAAAGCAAGAUUGUGUAUCCUUUUCUGUAGAAUAAUUUUCAUAUGAAAAUAAGUUAAUGUGUUUUUAAAAUAUCUAACAAAAUUUAAGUCUUUGUGAUAUGUGCUUCUUGUAAUUUUUACUGUUAAUUGUAGAUUAAGUACUUUUUUUGUCCUAUUAUUUAUCUAUUAUUCAAUUUCGUCUUUUUAUUAAGAAAAAUUUCAAUUAAAUCUCUCAAUUUUUAAAGACGUAAUAAUGUGAUAUUUUUCAGCCAAUCAUUACUAAAAUUGUUAACGAACAAGUAUUGCUACUUUUUGUAUGGUUUAAAAAAUUACACGGGGGUAGUUUUAGCUAUAAUAUAUAGGAUUUGGGUUUUGAAUUUUAUUUAUGGGAUAUGAAUUUGUAUGUUUGUAGUUGUGAGAUCCUACUAAACAAUUGUAAAAAGGAUUGGAGCACCUAAUAUUUUUUUUAAUCUAUUUAUUUUUUGAUGUUGAUAAAAAACAAAACAAAUAUUGAAGAUUUUAAAUUAUACAAAUAUAAUUUUUAAUCAACGCAUAAUAAAAAAUAGUGGUUAUGGUAAAUAGUUUUUUUAUGUUGAGAUGUUUCUUAAAUAUCUCUAUUUAUUCAAUUCAUUUUUUAUUAACAAAAAAUACAAUAUAAAAAGAUAAAAAAAAAAGAAAAAGAAAGCUUAACCCAAAAUUAUAUUAUAUAUAAUAUACAUAAUAAAUCUAUUAUAUAAAAUUUAUCUUUCAUAAUUCAUUCCCGAACUAAAGAAUUAUACUAAUCAACCAACUAUAAUUAAAGUCUCUACCUACAUUGACUAUAACUAAAUGAAAUCAUAAUGUCUCAUACUAAAAUAUCUUAACCAUAUCAAAGUGUUUUUUUUCUACCAACAACCUUAGCUUAAUGAAGUCAAGUUAAUUAAUUUGGUAAUGUUAAUUGAGCGCUACACAAGAAUUUUCUUCAACUUCUCGUGACAUAAUAUUUUAAUAUAUGUCAUUUAAAUUAUGAGAAAAAUUAUCUAUGAUAUCUCAUUUAAAUAAUAUUUAUUUUUCUUAAUAUCAUAAUCACUACUUAUUAAACUAUCAUCCUAAAUAUUUAUCUUUCUAAUUCAAUCAAAUCAUAACAUAACUCAAUUCAAGUCAUUUAUAUAACUUCAACGAGAUACUAAUCCUCACCAAAUGAAAGAAAAUGAUUAACUCUUCAUUGCUGAAUAUGUGAACUCAACUUGAGACUCUUAAAAGAGAGUUGGUACAAUUUUUCUUUUGCUCAAGUCACAAGUAAUAGUUUUCAAUGUUUAACAUUUUUAAUUGAGUAACCAAUGUGAACUUAAGUGAUAAUACUUUGUUGCAACAAUAAAUUUCAUCACUUAAGUAUCAAUUGAGUGACCAGUUCGAUGCUCCAACGCAAGAUAUGCAUAUAACAAUAAAAUACAAAAAAUUCCCAAACAACUUCGAAACAAUUUUCCUCAAUUCAAAUCUACUAACUUAGCUUUAAGGAAAACAAUACACUAUCCAAAUAGAUAUGUAUCGAUUUUUUCAUAACACCUUUGGUUUUCAUUCUACAAUCCCUAAAAUAACAUCAACAUCAAUUGCACAUUCAAUUCAACCAAAGGAAACCGAAGCAAUUCCAAUUAUUUCAUAAUACACCAUGUAAACCACUUGACAUUUUCUAUCAUUAUCAUUAUUUUAAACUAAAGUUGUCAUCGUCCUCUCCAAUUCAAUUCAAAUAAAAGUUUAAGUUAGUUUCCCUUAUUUGGAGGUAGCUUAGUCUUAUACAAACUUAACUUAACUACAAAACUUAAAAAAUAAAUUUCUAAAUAACAUUCAAAGAAAUUAAAGCAUUAUCUUAAUCUAACAAAAGUUCUUAUUAUCAGUUGAUUUCGGACUAGGAAAUUUCGCAAGGAAAUUACAAAACUUAGAGAAAUGAGGAACCCACCUAGAUUAAGAUUCUAUUAGGAUGAAUUCCAUCUAAUCUUCCCCACCUUUUGCAAUGGUUAAUCCAAAAACUUAGAGAGAAUAUGGAUGACUUAAGGUUUUAGAGAUAAUUUAUUUUAUAAUAAAUUAAGAAUAUAAUGUUUUGAAUAUAUAUAUAUAUAUAUAUAUAUAUAUAUAUAUAUAUAUACUAUAUAUAUAUAUAUNNNNNNNNNNNNNNNNNNNNNNNNNNNNNNNNNNNNNNNNNNNNNNNNNNNNNNNNNNNNNNNNNNNNNNNNNNNNNNNNNNNNNNNNNNNNNNNNNNNNUAUAUAUUGUUAUAUAUAUAUAUAUAUAUAUAUAUAUAUAUAUAUAUAUAUAAAUCUUUCUAUAAAUACAUUUUCAAUCUCUAUUAACUUUAAGCUUUAUUUUAUAAACUCAAAUAAAUUACUUCUUACAUAUACAUAAUAUCUAAAAUUUGAAAUUAUAGCUACUAAUUAAAUGUAAAUGAACUCUUAUAUUCUUUAAGAAAAUGGAAAGAAAAAUCACUUAGAAAAAGUUUUAACGACAACUAAAAACCCUUCUAAUAAUAAUCUGGGAAUUGUCACUAAAAUCUAAGGUUUUGUUGUACUAUUUGAUAUUUACAACAAUACUUGUAAUUUAAGUGUUGUUUUAUGUGCUGUGCAUAUGAAGAUGAUUUUGUAUUCAAGUUAGUUAUGCAUCAUUCUUUUAAUCAAUUAAGUAUGUGGAAGCAUGAUGAUUUUUACUAUAAUUGGUGUGAAAUUCAUAAUUGAUGCGUAUUUUAUCAUAAUUACCAUUAUAUUAUUUUUUAUUAAGAGUUAAAUAUGAUUUUUUAUUUAGGUAAUCAUAAAUUUUAAUGGUUUUCUUACUACAAAUAUUCAAGUUGUUCAAAGUUUUAAUCACUACAAAAAAAAUCAAUAUUAUCUAUGGAUUUUUACCUACGAAUCUGAGUCCGUAGGUAAAUUCAGCAUUACCUACGAUAUUACCUAUGAACAACAUUACCUACGGACAUUACCCACAAAUUCUGAAUUCAUAGGUAAAUUCAGCAUUACCUACCAGCUAUUACCCACGGAUCUUAUUACCUACCACUUUUAACCUACGCAUCUCUAUUACCUAUUAACUAUUACCCACGAAUCUUUAUUACCUACGAAUUAUCACUCACGGAUCUCUAUUACCUAUCAACUAUUAUCAUAGAAACUAUAUACAAAAUAUUAAAAAUAUUAAUAUAAUAUGAAAAAUUAUAAAAUCAUAAUUAAUAUUCAUAAAUAAUAAUAACCAUAACUAAUUUAUACAUAUUAUUAAUAUUAUAAAAUUAAUAAUAUUAAUCUAAUAAUUUAAAUAAUAUAAUUAGUAUUAUAUUAAUAAUAUGAAUAAUAUUAAUAAUAAUAAUAAUAAUAUUAAUGAUAUUAACAAAAUUAAUAAUAUUAGUAAUAAUAACAUUAAUAAUAUAAAUACUAUUAAUAAAAAUAUAUAUAAAAUUAGCAUUAUUUAUAAUAUUAAUAAUAUUAACACUAUUUAUAAUAUUUAAAAAUAUUAAUAAUAUUAAAUUAUUAAUAACAUUAAUAAAGAUUUAAUAAUAUUAAUAAAGAUUUAAUAAUAUUAAUAAAUAUUUAAUAAUAUUAAUAUUAUUUAAUAAUAUUAAUCAUAUUUAAUAAUAUUAAUCAUAUUUAAUAAUAUUAAUAAUAUUAAUAAUAUUAAUCAUAUUUAAUAAUAUUAAUAAUAUUUAAUAAUAUUUAAUAAUAUUAAUAAUAUUUAAUAAUAUUAAUAAUAUUUAAUAAUAUUAAUAAUAUUACAACUAUUUAAUAAUAUUAAUAAUAUUUAAUAAUAUUACAAUUAUUUAAUAAUAUUAAUAAUAUUUAGUAAUAUUAAUUAUAUUAAUAAUAUUUAAUAAUAUUAAUAAUAUUAAUUAUAUUAAUAAUAUUAAUUAUAUUAAUAAUAUUAAUUAUAUUAAUUAUAUUAAUAAUAUUAAUAUUGAUAAUCAUACUCAUAAGUAUAAUAAUAAUCAUAACAUGACAACAAAACUUGACUGAUGACAUUACUCAAGGGACUUGACUUCGAGUCUGAUCUAUUGUACAUUACAUACAGAUUUUGGCUAUUAUCUACUGAUUUCUUCCGUAGAUAAAUUGAAUUUUUCUUUCUAGUGAAUAGAGACAGAAGUAUAUUUUGCUUAUAGUAUAGGAAAAAAAAUAUUUAACUCUUUAAUAAUGUUAGUUUCAUUUUAUAAUAUUAAUUAAAUCAAUUUACAUAAAUCAAAUUAUAAUAUUUUCCUAAAAUUUUUUUAUAAUGGCAAUUAUAAAACAAUCAUAAUUAUAUAUUAUUCAUUUUAUUUUAAAAAAUGUCACUUUUCACAAUAAUUCUCCAUAAUUAUCCUAAAAUAUUGUUAUUAAUUUCAAAUUUUACACUAGUAAAAUAACAUGUGAAUUAGAAGUGCACUUGUGUAAAGCUGAAUAAAAAAUGUGUUUGUGUUUUUACUUAAAAAUGUGCUUGAUUUAUACAUAACCCAUAACGUUUUAACUAACCUAUAAAUUUAAAAUAAAUAUAAAAAAAAAUACUUUUUUUGUUCUACAAGGAAGAAAACAAAUUGUGUCUAAGUAGUAUUAAAAGUUGUUCGAGUGAGACUAUCAAUAAAUUCGUAAAAUACAUGUCAUUAAUUGGAAGAGAAAGAUUAUAUAUAAUAACUAUUUUUUUCAAAAAGAAUGAUUCAAUUAAGUAAUUAAUUAAAAAAUAAUUAAUGUUUAACCGGUCCAAGUUUGCAUAAAAUAAUAGAGAAAUCCAAUUAAAAAAAAGUCAUAUUUUUAAAUGAUUAAAAUUAAAACGCGUUAGGCCAUGUUAGCCUUUAGACACUAUCCCAAAAGUAUACCCAAUAAUAAUUUGCUGUCAAUUAAGCAUCUUCUACAGUUGUGGCUUGAAAACACUUUUUGGAAUCGCUUAUUCGUACUACUUUCGGGCAAAAAAAAUAGACUUAAUCAUUAUAAUAUCACGCAUAGUCGGUUCAAAACUAAUCUAAUAAUCAAUUGUCAAACGCGAUUUUUGUUUCCUUUUUAAUAUUUCUUUGUUCUUUUUGACUUAACAGUACACCUAUCUUUCUUUAAACAUCUAAAUGAGACAAGAAACCCAAAGAAAAAAUGCAAAUAAAAAAGACUAUUGUACAAUUUGUAAACAAAAAUAAUAAUUUGCUCUCUGCAUUGCCAAAUUCGACAUAUAAAAAUCCCUCUCUACGCGCUUUGAUUAUUUAUAUUCCAUUAAUUAUGGCAUCAAUCAUGAAAUAACUUGGAAAGUCUUAGUUAUAGUAGGUUUAAAAAAUCACUUCUACUGUAACAAGUCAAAGUCAAAUAUUCUAUCUUGUAGUUUUUUUUAUAAUAAAUUGUAACUUUGUCUCCAAUAAUGAAUGAAAUAAUAAAUUGUGAUAUUUUAGAAAUAUUAAGUUGUUCACAAUCAACUUUUCUUCCUAUCAUAAAUUAUAUUAAACAUAUGAUAUUGCAAAUUAAUAUAAUAUUAGAAUUUGUUAAAUUCUUAUAAAAGAUUAGAGGAUUCAUAUACAUUGUAUAUAUAAAAGAGAAUACAAAUUUCAUUUGAGUCAAUUUUAUAAAAUUAAAUUAAAUUUAAAAUUUAUAUUUUAAUAUAAUAUUAAACUAAUUUAGAGUUUGUUAAUUUUAUCAACAACUUGCUAUCUAAACACCUAUAAAUUUAUAUGUCAUGUUUUUUUAUCAAUAAUAAAUAAAAAAAAAUAAAAUGAGACAUUUUAAGGGUGUCACAAUCUUUAUACAAAAAACCCAAAACAAGUUUUCUAGCACCCAACCAAUUAAGGAUCUAACAUACACUACACUACAAUAACCAAAAUAAUAUAUCAGAUCAAGAGAUAGAAACCCAACAAAUAUAAUUACAUCAACCCAUCAAAGAGAUCAAACCCUCAAUACAUGACAUAAAUCUAACAACUAAACAAGAUCUUUGCUAGCAGGCUGAAAUGUGCCACUUAACCAAGUGUCAAACUCGACAAACCGAUCCUGGGAGAAGGAAACGUAAACAAAAAAUAACACACCAAAGAGAUCACACCCUCAAUACAUGACAUAACAUCCAACAACUAAGCAAAAUCUUUGCAGAAGGCUGAAGUAUACCAAAUAACCGAAUGUCAACAUCAACAAACCAAUCAUGUGAGGAGGAUACAUAAACCAGAAAUAACCUACAAAAAACCCUUAGACCGAAUAGCAUAUAUCAAAUACAUUUUUCUUUACACCUCAUUAUGUAUCAUAUAGAUUCUUACAAUGUAACAUUAAAGGAAAUAUUUUUGUCAAAAAUAUAAUAUUUGAUUUUUUUAUCAGCAAUAAAAAAUAAAUAAAUGGGAACCACUUCAGGGGUGGUCCAACCCUUAUACAUAAAGAGCUAGCGCCUUAUCAACCUCCAACCAAGGAACACCUUCCAACUUAAAUAAUGAACAACCAAACCAACUCAAGAAAGCAUUAAACAACCAACCUCAUACAAUCCACUGGCUUCAAAACCCAGUUGGGCUACGUAAAUGAAUUACAACAGGACUUUGCAAAAAUCCAAGACCAAACAUUUACCUGUACCAGUGCAAAUACCUCGAGCGCAUCUACCACGCCCCUGUCGAAGGUCACCGAGUUCCUAUGUCUCCAAAUUCCACUCACAACACCAGCCCAAACCGCCCCCUAAACGUCAUUAACCACAUCAGAAGCCGAACACAACCUGAAUUGUUGGAAGUUUACCAAAGGGUCCUUGUGAAUAACAAACGACACUCCAAGCCACUCAAAACAAAGACACCACACCCGCCAGGUAAACUCGCAGACGGAAAACAGAUGACUGGACGACUCUUCCACCUUCCCACACAAACCACACACCAGAUUCUCUACCACCACCCCUCGCCUUUCCAAAUUUACCCUAGUAGCAAUCUUAUUCUCCAUCACCCUCCAAGCAGUGACCAAAGCGGAAGGCAAAACUUUGCACCUCCACAACUUACUGUAAACUGGAGAAACCUCUCCAACUCUAUCCUUCCUAACCUGAAAAUAAGUUGAGUUAACCGUAAAAGUAUGAAACCCCCCUACCUUCCAAAUCCAGCAAUCUGCCUUCCCCGAUUCCAACUUCGCCCCUUGUAGUAACUGAAAGAACUGCUCCACCAGAGGUUUCUCCCAUUAAAAAAAGGGUCUACGCCAUUCAAAGUGCCACACCCAAACACCAUCAAUCAAAUUCCCUAGUUCAGCCACCUUUGCACCUUUUGUCACACUAAGAGAGAAAAUUCUUGGGAAAACACUCUUCAACGCUCCACAACUCAACCAACUGUCCUCCCAAAAAAGGAUAGCCCUCCCCUCACCAACUUCUCACUCAAACCCAUCUUCAAAACUUCUUCCCCAACCCUCUGAAGUCCACACCUCCUUCAAAUUUUUCCACCAAAGAGAGCCCCUACCAACUUUACCUUCCUCUCUCAAGCUUCUCCAUCCAUCGUACUUAGAAACGAGGAUCUCUUUCCACAGACCACUCUUAUUCGUAGCCAACCUCCAGAUCCACUUACCUAAUAGAGGCAAAUUAAACAACCUUAGAUCAAUAAUACCUAGACCCCCAUAGUCACAAGACUCACAAACCUUUUUCCGAGAGGCCCAAGCGAUCUUCCUAUCAUCUCAACCCCAUCCAAUAUUUGAUUUUAAAGAACUUAACAAACACACAUUUUAUUAAUACAUGUUUUUCCCUUGAACCUGUAGGUCGAAUUUUUAUCCUCGUAUUUAAGAAUCAUGGUUAUAUCUCUCAAUCAAUCAAUUUUCCAAUAUAUUACACCUAGAUUUUAAAUCUUAUAUAUGGUUCUUCACUAAUAAUGGCGUUUGACCCUUUGAGACUUGAGUAACUACAUGCAUGCACCCAUUCAUAUUUUUAUCGUGUUCUUCACAAAAUCCCAAUGGAUAAAACAAGUUGUAACAUUUAAUUAGAAUUCAUCUCUAGAGACUAUUAUUAAAUUGCCAACUUUCUAAAGAAUUUGACGAAUAUUUUAUUUUUUAAAUAAAUUGAUGUCAAUAGUGGAUGAUAGGGAUUCACUAAUGCUAAGAUAAGAUUCAUUAAUAUAUUGAUUGAUCAAAUACCUAUUCUAAGUUGAUUUUAAAGGAUAAAGGACCCUUCAAUCAAAAUCAAAUUAGGAUCUACCCAUCAUAAAAAUUUCUCACCAAAGUUGAAAAUACUCGUAAUUUGAAAACCACAUUAUUGUUUAUAGGUAGGUCGUAAUAUUAAAAGAAUGAGAAGGACCGAUUAUUUGAAUGCAAGUGGUGUUCUCUUUUUCUCCACUCCUGCACAUUUUCUUAAUAAACAUUCUUGUUCAUGCCAAAAUAAAAAUAAUUUUCUUCCAGCUGUAAUAUUUGACUAAUCUAGAAAAUUUAGGCCCAUAAUUUCUGCAGAAAAAUGAAGAACAAUUAGUCAGACACUGUAUAUUUUUCUAACUCACCAAUGAAUUUCAUUGAAAUUAAAGAACGUAGUCACAUCAAUCAAUCAUGGUUUGAUUAAAAGAAUUUGAUUAUCCACAAUUUUGAAAGGCCUAUAGAAAAAAUUACACCAGUUAUUACAUCAAAUUAAUAGAAAGACAGAGAAAACUAAGUAAACUAGUGAUAGCAAAAGUUUUUCACAAAACUGAAAUACUUUCACAAAGAAAUUUUAGUGAAAUAUUUUAAUAUUUUAAUUUAAUUUUAUAUUUUAUUAUUCAAUUAUUAUUAUUAUUAUUAUUCAAAUUUUAUUAUCUAAUUUUUUUCAUGAAUUUUAACAUCAAAAUUUAACAUUUUAAUAAAUUAAAUUUAUAACAUAUCAUGAUUUUUUUUAAAAUAGAAUAACAUCAAAUAAAUAUCAUUUUGCAAAAAUUAGUGUUAAAAACGCUAUUUUGAUAUUUUAUAAUAUUUUUUUUAUUAAUAAUAAAAUUAAUUAAAUUAAAAAUAAAAUGUUUUAAGAGUAUUCCAACCCAUAUACGGGUAUAAGAUAUAUCAUUACUUUAAUAAAAAAAUAGCAAAACAGUAGAAUUUAAAAAAAAUAAAACUUUGGUAAUAAAACUAUAAUAAUAAAAUUCAUAAAAUGAUGAUAAAUAAGUGAUAAAAUAUGCCAUCAAAAUCAAUACUUAUGAAGAUUGGAUUCUUCAUACAUGCAAGUGGUGGUAUUUGUUUCUUGAUAAUAGUGAAAGAAAAAAAGGAAAAAAAUCCAUUAUUUAUAUUAAGUUUAUAUUUUAUUAUAUCAUCUAUCCAAUUUCUUAUUUUCAUAUAUUUUUGUUAUCUUUCUUAUAUUUCAACUAUCCCACAUUCUUUUUCAACAUAUCCCAUUAAAUUAUUUGUUCAUUUGUCUUCAAUUGCACUAAGGUGUGGGGUUUGGGAUGCAAAAACUUUUUGUUUACUUUGUGAUUGGUCUGCUUUUAUCCAUGCAUGAAACUUCCUAAUCUUCUUUUCUACCAAAAAUCGACCUCAUUCGUUAAUUAACUUACUUUAUUUGACUCCAUUUUCAAAAAGCAGAUUAUGAGUUUGGCAAAGUAUAAUGCACAGAUUUCUUCCAUAGAAAUUGAGUUGGACGAAGUAAAACAAAUAUUUUUUUUAAAGUUCCUAAUUCAUCAUAAAUUGUAAAUAGCAUUUUCCUUUUAUUCCAUACAGUAAAGAAGGGAAAAUAAAUAUAAAUAUACAAGUUAUUUGAAUAAAAUUCUUUUAUAUUUAUUGAGAAAAAAUGUACUUUAACAAUUGCAUAGUUUAAGGCACCAAUUUAAUUUUUUUUUUUUAAAUUUCCGUCUCCAUUUAUUAAUGGUACGUUUGCUUUGAUUUGAGUCUCUGUCCUUUUUUUUCUUCUCAAAGAUACUAAUCCAAAUGAAUAAAAAUUUCAGAGAUUAAAAUUAAAAAGCCAUAUAUUACAAGAAUUAAAACAAAGUAUAAAGGCCUAAAAAGGAAUUAGUGUUCCCUAUUAUUAUAUAAAAAAAAAUACUUUUUAAAAAGAAAGAACAAACCAAAUAUAUAUGGGGAUCAUACUAUAUUUUAAAAAAAUUAUAGGAUAAAAAUGUUUUAAUCUCUCUAAAUUUGUCAAGGUUCAAUUUUAGUUCCUCUGCACUUUUUUAUUCUCUGUCACUCUAUAUUGAAACACGUAAUUUUUGGUUUCUUAAAUGAUUUAGAUAGCUGUUUAUUGAAAAAUGAAAAGUGGUGUAAAUAGUGUUUGAAAGACCAAACUCAAUUUAUUUUUGGAACAUAAAAGCACUUCCAUCAGUGCACUAUACUUAUAUGACGCGUUUUAAAUGAAAAAACUGCAAUAUAAUAAUUUAAUAUCUAGAGAGAUUUGAUUGGGGGCGUAUGUGUCAUAUGUGAUUGUUGAUAGGUUAUUUCUUCACUUGUAAAUUAGACACAUAAUUUUUUUAAAUCGGUUAUAGAAAUAUAUAUAUAUAUAUAUAUGCGUGUAUUUUUUAUUUUAAAUUAUUAAAUAUCUGAGUUAAGGUAUGUUAUAUUAUAAAUUUUUAUAUAAUUAUAAAUUUUUAUUACUAUUUUAUAUAAAAAAAAAAUGUAUAUCUUUUAAAUAUUAAUUUUUUUAUAAAAUCAUACUUUCUUUAUUUAAAUUUUACUUUUUUUUUAUAAAAUAAAUAUUUAAUAAAAUUUUGAAUAUAUAUAAAUAUAUUUAUUAUUCAGUAAAAACAAAGAUGAAAUACACAUUUUACACUUAUCAAAUGAAACAAGACUAGGUAUUAGAUUUUCUGACGAUAUUGAGUACAUUCAAAGAUCCCUCUUGUUAAGGACAUCUUUUUGGUGGUGUAUUAUAACAAGACUCUUUCUUCCUCCACCUCUGCCACUUCCAUACAUGGAAUAUGAAAAUACAUUUUUAUCUUUAUUGUGUCAUCCCAUAGAAUAGUUUUCGAAUUAUGUAUUAUAGAAACUCAUUUGAAAAAAUACUUCCGAAUUACAUAAUCUAGAAGUUAAAUAAGACUUCUGGAUUAUAUAAUCCGGAAAGUAAUCAUGCAUCCAAAAAAAAGUUCUAGAUUAUGUAAUCCGAAAACUAAUUACAAAUUUGAAAAAUAACUUUCGAAUUAUGUAAUCCAAAAUAUUAUAAAGGAGCAUUUUUGGAAAUUCGAAAAUUUAUGGAGGUGAGAGAAGAAGGUAUGGAGGUGCAGGAAUAAAUAGUCUUAUAACAAUUUAUGGAUUUAGUUAUUUAUUUGUUAUGGUUCCAAACUGGAUUCCACUUCUUUUUGGACUUUUACUUUUAAUAUGGGCCUCUUUGUCAUUGUGAGGCAUGGUCUAUUUCCUUCUGCACACCCAUAAUUUCAUGUGCAGAUUCAUGAGGUAGCUAAAAGACCAAACUAUCCUCUUAUUGCCCAAUCACCGUUUGUUGCCACCACCAUUCUUCAAUUGCCCUUUGACUAUGUGUCGUGCACAUAGAUUUAAGGAAGAAAGUGUUAUAAAUUAUGUAAUUUGUAAACUUUUUUGCUUAAUAUUUUAAAUUGUACAAUUAAAAAAAAUUGAUGCAAAUGUUUUUUGAAUUAUACGAUUAAAAAAUAAUUAUAAAGGUAAAGUAGUAAUUUUCAUAGAAUAAAUAAAAAAUUAUAGGGGUAGAAAAAAGCUUAAAUAAUGUUUUUUAACACAAAAAAAAUUGAAAUGAUGGUUUUUUUUUUCAUCUUUCAGCCCAUAUAGAACUAGUGACUACGAUGCUACAUGGGCGAUUUCUUUCUCCAUCUCCAUUCUAUCGUUAUGCACCUCCAUAAAAUACGUGAAAGGACUUUUUUUUUCAUCUUCUUUUAUAAGAUUUUAUUUUUAGAAAAAUUAAUUUAGGGGAGUAUCUUGUCCCAUUCUCAAUUUGGUCGAGGUUAUUAUUUUCAUAAUCCAACCGAAUUAAUAAAAAAAUAAUAUAAAUUUUAUUUAAAAACUAAAAUAAUUAAAAUCUUUUUUUUAUUUACUUUUUUUACCACUUUUGAUUUGAAUUUUAGAUCAAAAUUAAAAUUAAAACUAAAUAUAAAAGAACUAUUUUAUAAUAUUAUAUAUUUAAAGUUAAUUAACAAACCUAUAUGUGAUUGUGUCAAAUUUUGUUUAAAAUGAACUAUUUUACAAUAUUAGGUCAAAUUUAUAUUUAGUUCCCAAAUUGAAAAGUUAUUUUUUAACUAUUUGAAUUUAAAUUUAUUUUUAACCCCUCAAAUUUAAAAUUCAAUUGAUAUAUCUAAUUCAAAAUUGAAUGCAAAACUUCCAUUUCAUCAAACUCCUUUUAUUAAAAAAAACAAUUAGAGGGUGACAAGUUAAAUAAAUUAGGAAUAACAUCAAUAUUAACUAUUUUGUAUACACUACUAGAUAAUUAUUAAAUAAAAAUUAAUUGUAAAAAAAAAUUUGAUUACUAUAUUGACUAAAUUAGACAAUAUUUUAUAAUACAAAUUAUUAUUAUGUAAACUACUUUCUAAAUUUAUAAACUAGUUUUUAAAUUGGUAUUUGAUUAGUUAAUUGUUAUCUAAUUAAUUACCAAGAUUUUAGCUACCAAUUUUAGAAUCUAAAGUAGUUGAUAGCUAAAACCUUGAUAGUUAAUUAGAUACCAACUUAGAAACUAAUUUAUCAAUUUUAUUAAUAAUAGAAACUAAUUUGAAUAUCAAUAAUUUUUGUACUUAUUUAGGCAAAGAGGGUCUAGAUAGUAUAUGAGACUAGGCGUACAAUUGCUAACGUUUUGGUAAUCCUCUAGUUCCUUCUUUCGAGUCUUCUGCCACAAAUGUUGAUGCUCGGUCGGGAGGUUGACCUGAAAAAGAUAUUCCGAUGAUCAAGUAAGUACUCUGUAUUAAGAGUGUAUAUUGGUAAUUGAUAAAAGCGUACCUUACACAUCUGCAGAGGGUUUUAUUUAUAGUAUUGGUUAUGGGCCCUUGCCGUGAUGGACUGGACAUCGCUUAUUCACUGAUGUGCAUUGUGAUCCCUGAUUAAUAGGGAGGUUCAAUGGUAUAUAGGUAUGUUGGAAUAUUUGAAGAAUAUUUGUACCAUCUUUCAUUUAGUUAGUAUUGUUGAACAAGGUGCUUUGAUGCCUCCAAAUCUAUGUGGAAUGCUUGAAAACCCUGCUGAUGUGUGUCUGUUGUCUAGUAGUUUUUAACUUGUUAAUUCACUCCUUGAAAUGAUCUAAGCUCAUUUGAUCUUUAUCUCUUUUGAAAGAAAUGCUUUCUUAAAAGUUGAGAAAUUUUUAUUCAGUUGUUUUUAGUCGAAAAAGUUGCUACUCAAGAGUUUGAGGCUAAGACAAGUUUUUCAACCUGUUGAAUUGUCGAAACAACCUGUUGUUUGACACUUGGUGGUUUUCAAAAUGAUUCGAAUUUUUUUUGCUUAAUUUUGUCUUUGCUAUCUAACCGAAACAAUUGGUUAUUUCAAUAAAACAACUAGUUGUUUUUAUGAAAACCUUAACAGAAAAAUUAUUUCAGUCUAUUGUUUUGGAAAACAAUUUGUUGUUUUUAUAACAAAAUUAUGUUAUGUGUUUUAAAAUGUCUUAAAUGCUUCCAACUGCUUUUGGUUUCUGAUCUAACAACUUUGACCACUUGAUUGAGUUUAUAUAAAGGCUGUUUGACAUUCUUUUCAAGACUCUAAUAAAGAAAGAUUACUAAAAGCGUUUUUCAAGAAAUCAAGCUUUGAAUCAUCACUUGUAUGUGGAUAUACUUAUGUACUAUAUAUUUGUAAAGCCUAGAUGUAUUAUAUUCUCUUCUCUUUGAACAUUUUAUUUAUGUCUUUGUGUGUAAGGUAAUUUCAGAAAAGUGUUUCUAAAAACUGUGGUGCGUGUUCUUGAGGGGUUCAAGAUCAUACUCUUGGUGUGUGUUUUGUAAUCUAGGUUUGACUACAUAGUAAAUUCUUAGUGGAUAGCUGAGGACUGGAUGUAACUCUUGGUUAAGAGUGAACCAGUAUAAACUUCUUGUGUGAUUCUUUUUAUCUCUUCUCUUAUAAACUGUUUUUAACUUUGUUUUAUAUUUCAUUGCUAUAAACAACUGAAUGUUUCAUGAAAACAACAUGUUGAUUUUCUGUAAAUAACCUUAAAACAUAAAUUUUAUUGAGUUGAACAGAAAAUCAAUUGGUUGAUUUUUCAGAACUUUUCACUAUACUUCUAAUCUGUGCGAAAAUCUUGUGAAAAAAUUCACCCUCUCUUGUUUAAGCCACUAAUUCUAACAAGUAUUUAGUUGAUUUAUCGGAGAUACUUCCUGCAUAUUUUGGGAUAUGAAUUGUGACUCAUUAAGUGUUGUUGUAACUGUUGUUACUGUCUUUUAUUGCAUGCCUUGAGAUGUUCUUCGACUCGGUUGGUCGGUUGCCUGGCUCGUUCGGUCCCGAUCGAUAUAAUUUUGUUAUAAAAUAGUAUUCAACUUAGUUAAUAAAAUGAUUUUCUAGUAGCGAAAACAGUGAUAAAAAUAAAAGUAAAUUCUAAUAAUAGGAUAAAAGGAUUUUUUAACCUUGAAUAAUAUUUGAAGAUAAAUUUUUCCACAAUUUUGAACCUCCUAAAAUCUAGUGAAGUAAAAGAAAAUAUUGUAUUUGCAUAUUCUAGCCACAACCCAGUUCAAUCUGAAAAUAAAUAAAUAAAAAGUCAAAACUUCAUUCAUGACAAUUGACAUUGAGAUUUCAAAACAUCUAAUCUUUCAUUUUAGAAAUGUUCCGUUCUAUAGUUUCAGAAACUUGUGUUCAUAACUAUACAAUUAAAUUUAGAAACAACAAUUUGAGCAAAAGAUUAUUGAGUAGCAAAAGUAUUAAAAACAUACUAGCCACUACAAGAAAUUUGCUAUUUACAUACCGAUGAUUACAUACAGAUUCAAAUUCGUAUGUAAAUUGAGCAUUACAUACGGAUUUUACAUACAGAUUUGAAUCUGUAUGUAAAGUGACGUUACAUACGGAUUUUUACAUACAGAUCUGGAUCCGUAUGUAAAGUGAAAAUUACAUACGAAUAUGGAUCCAUAUGUAAAGUCAGCGUUACAUACGAUUUUUACAUACAGAUUUGGAUCUGUAUGUAAAGUGAGCAUUACAUAUGGAUUUUUACAUAUGAAUUUGUGUUAUAUGUAAUACCAAUUUUUCUUGUAGUGAGCCAAAAGUUAUAUCACCUAAAUCAAUCUUCUAGUUGGUUUUGGUGUCUUGUAUAACAUAGUUAAUUGAAGAGAAAAUUAAUUUACAGUGAAGAGUAGAUAAGUUUAGUUAUAGAAAUGAGAUUAAAAUAAAAUUGUUGUACAUAAAGAAUAUGAGUGAGAUAAAACGUAUGAUUGAAACAAACAGUUCUAAAAUAUUGAACAAAAACACUAUGACCAUUUGGAAAAUUUAUAAGAACAAGUUUGAUGCAAUAAAGAAAAACUCAGAUAAAGAAAUGAAGACAAGAUCAAUAGCACCAAAAUUAAAAAAUAUUUAGCACUUUUUAAAUUGUUAAAAAUGAAGAUGUUACUAGUGGGAGAAUUAUUUGACACUUGGUGAGGCAAAUUAGCAUAGAAGAAACCGACUUGAUUCACUUGUGCCUGAUGCAUAGAAUUGUUUUUGACACUUUUUUUAAGAGAUAACAGAUGUUCAUGCUAGGGAGAUAGACCUAGAAAACUAUUGAGAAGCUUCGUCUUUCUCCUUUCUAUCAGGCAGUUGAUCUACACUUCAGCUUACUCCUUCAGUCUUCCUACUACUUCUUUGGAUCUCAGUUGCUUGGUUACUUGAUCUCCUGACGAAUGUCGGAUGGGGGGAGGGGAUGUGUAUCUGCAGAAGGCACUCGGACGUUCAAGUCAGCAAAGGGUGUUUGACACUCGGAUGUUAGAUUACAAUAAUUAAUGAUGUACCUACUUCUUGAAAUGUGUGCUAUUUAUAUUAUUUUAAUGAGCUUACCUUAUUGGGUACCUAAUUCUUAAUGAUGGUUUAAUUUUACUGACCUUGAUUGAGCGUUAAUGGACCGAAGGUAUUGGUCGACUCGCAUGGACGUGUGUCAUUCGGUCGGCCUGGCCGUGGGAGCCGAGCCAUGUAUUGACCGUUUGGUCCAUACAAGUACAUUUGCCCCCAGGCUCGAGGAUGAAUUAAUCCGAAGAGUCUCAGUGCCGAGUGUCGGUCAGUCUUCUGAGUUUAAUGUGAUUGUUGGACUUCCCGAAGUCUGACAUGACUUCAGGCGGCGCCUGCAUGCGUGAUGUGACCCGCAUUGAUGAAAGAUUUUUUGGACGCAAAACGUUGCGAGCCAUUUGAUCUAAAAGAUCUAACGGUUCAAAUCGUUGUGAUGCUUCAUCUCUCAAAAUCCUUGGAGGUUAUAAUAUUCAAAAUUCAACUGAAUUAAUAAAAAAUAAUUUAAAAAUUUAAGAAUCACUAAUUUUUUAUUUUAUUUGUUUUUUCUUCCACUUUUGAUUUGAAUUUUAAAUUAAAAUUAAAAAAUCAAACUAAAUAAAACAAAACUAUUCUGUAAUGCUUAUUUAAAGUUAAUUACCAAAUAUACAUGAUUAUGUCACUUAAAAAUAAGUUAUUCUAUUUAUAAUAUAUUAUUUACAUUCCUUAAAAUAUGAUAACAAAUUUAUAUUUUAAUUUUUAAUCAUACCAUUAUGUUAUUUAUUUAUAAAUAUUUCGAUGAAGUUAAAAUUAUAAAGACUGUAAUAAUUAUAAAAAAAAUCAUAUUUCUUUAUUUAAUAAUUUUUUAUUAUAAAAUAUUUAACAGUUUUUUGAUGAAAUAUUUUCAAUAAUUUUUUGUUAAAAAUGUUUAAUAAAUUUACUAUAACAAAAAUUGAAAAAGUGGAUACAAUAUUAACUGUAAAAUAUUAAUUUGAUUUUUUUUAGUUUUACUGAUCAUUUAAUUAAAAAUUGAAUAAAAUCAAAUCACAAAAGUUGAUAAUAGAGAGACACCAUUUUGAAGAGAAGGAGAAAGAGAAAGAGAAAGAGAGAGAUGAAAUAUCGUUUUAUUAAGUAAAUGUAUAAAAAAACUUUUCACACAUUGGAAUUAAGAAAUGCAUAUAUCUAUACCCACCUAUAUAAAGGGUUCUUCGUUAUAAUUAUUUUUUAGUAGGGAUUCUUCAUUAUAAUUAUUUUUUAGUGUACAUAAUUUUUUUUCUGAUUAUAAAUUAAACAUUUUGUCAUUUUAUAUGAAUUAUUUAAAAAUAAAAUUAUUUUUUAAUUUUUUAAAAUUAAUAUUAAUGUACAUUUUUUAUACGCAAAUUAACUCUUCCACUUUUUUCUUAAUUUCUUAUUUUAAAGUAACAAUAGAAAGAAAGAUAAAGCAUACUCUCACCCAUUUUUACACAAAAUUCCACAUAUCAAAAUAAAAUAACCUCUACUUCUAAUCAUCUCUUCACUUCAUUAAAGCAGACGUGAACAUCAUCACACUCAAAACUGUCAAUGAAAGAAGGAAAAAGUUUAAAAAAGAAUAUAAACUUAAACUAGAGAAAAAGAAAAGAAAAAAUUGUUUAAUUAAUUUAUCAUUUUUCUUUUAUAUAUUAUUUUUUUUUUCAAUUUUAACUCAUCCAAAAUUAAUUAUAUAUGUAUUUAAAUUUCUAUCAUCAUAAAAAUUAUACAAAACACAAUAACACCUAUUUUCGCUAAUCUAUAUAUAAAGUUUACAUAAUCUAUAUUAAGUAUGUUAAUAAAAUAAUAUGUCUUUUUGUAUUGUUUAUACAUAACAAAUUAUGAAUAUUUUAUUAAAAUAAUAAAUAAAAUUAUUGUUUUUACUUAUUUUUUUUCCAAUAAAAUAAUUAUAUUUUUCUCCUCUUUUUCUUCAUCUGACCAAACGCACCGUCAGUGACCGACAAAACAUACAGUAAGUUGUUGGGUUGGAUUCAUCCAUUUGCGUGCCGCCGCUGACACCGUGGAUUGUGCGAAACAGUUACUGCAACUUACUUUUACUUGGGAACAGUGAUGAUUGACACGUGUAGCAUUACUGCAGCUCUUCACAUUAAUUAGCCAUGCAAGCAAUCAGAGACCCAGUGCAAAUCAUUGAAUUAUCUUCCAAACCUCAUGCCAAGUACCCAACGACAAUGUCACCAUCCAGCACAGAAGCACAUGGUCAUUCAAAUCAGCCCACCCACCAAAAUCAACCCACUUCAAUUCUCAUAAAGCACCAUCCUCAUCUUCUCUCCCACUCAACUAUAUAAACACCACACCUCAUCACUUCUCUUCACCACCCACAUCACAAAGCAACACCAAGAAGAUAUCGUAUACCACUUCUCUCCCCUUUUAGAGAAACAUUCUUUCUGCGACUAUGGCCAGCGUGAAGGUUGCAUGCGUGGUUGUAAUGUUCAUGGCUGUGGUGAGUGCACCUAUGAUGGUGCAGGCCGUUACAUGCAACGAUGUGAUAAUGCAACUCACACCGUGCCUACCUUACUUGAUGAAUGGUGGAGGGGCUUCAGCAGGGUGUUGUAGCGGAGUGAGGAACCUUCUGGGUGCUGCGGGAACCACCGCUGACAAACAAACUGUCUGCAACUGUCUCAAAAAUGCUGCUGGCAGGUUUAACAUCAAUGACCAGUAUGCUCAGGCACUCCCUGGCGUCUGCCAUGUCAAUGUCCCUUACAAGAUCAGCCGCUCGACCAACUGUGCAAAGUACGUUUAAACUCUCCAUGCAUCUCACUCACAGUUUCUCUAUUUUGACCAUUCUACUUUUCCCUCUCAAAUGGAUUCCUAACUUUUUUGUUGCUGUUAGAUAAGUAAGCCGUUUUGUUUAAGAUCAAAUCCAGUUCCACUAAGAUAGACCAAGUUGUCGGUAUCCGAACAUGUUUUACCCAGUAAAAGAUAAUUUAUUAACUGAUAUUCUGAAAUUUGUGUAAGUGAAAGUGAACACCAAACGAAAUGGUGG